GACGAACGCUGGCGGCGUGCUUAACACAUGCAAGUCGAACGAAGGGCGACGGAAGCUUGCUUCUAUCAAUCUUAGUGGCGAACGGGUGAGUAACGCGUAAUCAACCUGCCCUUCAGAGGGGGACAACAGUUGGAAACGACUGCUAAUACCGCAUACGAUCUAACCUCGGCAUCGAGGAUAGAUGAAAGGUGGCCUCUACAUGUAAGCUAUCACUGAAGGAGGGGAUUGCGUCUGAUUAGCUAGUUGGAGGGGUAACGGCCCACCAAGGCGAUGAUCAGUAGCCGGUCUGAGAGGAUGAACGGCCACAUUGGGACUGAGACACGGCCCAGACUCCUACGGGAGGCAGCAGUGGGGAAUCUUCCGCAAUGGACGAAAGUCUGACGGAGCAACGCCGCGUGAGUGAUGACGGCCUUCGGGUUGUAAAGCUCUGUUAAUCGGGACGAAAGGCCUUCUUGCGAAUAGUGAGAAGGAUUGACGGUACCGGAAUAGAAAGCCACGGCUAACUACGUG
rnacentral:rRNA from 1 species